AAGUUUGGUAUGCAUAUUGCCAAGUCAGCAAGAGUACUCAGAUGCAACGUAUUCUGUGCAUGCAGUACGACGGUUGUAGUUUGAACCAGUUCUGGAAGCUUCCACACAGGUGGGUGUGUCUAUUCCCUUGCAGAUGAAAGAAGCUAUUGACCUUAAAAACACGGGUCCUCUGUAGACGCUCGAUGUAAUUGCAUACAUGUACGU